UUAAUGGAAACAUUCAGGUGGUAGAAUGGCUUCCAACACAGCUGAGACAAAGGGUUAAACUGAGCCACUGAGACUGCUUCUAGCUGUGGACAGGCUCUGCCUUCCUUCAUGGAGACUUCGCUCCCCGGCAGCCCCCAGAACCUUCUCCGAGUUCAGCUCUACACUCCCAGCUUGAAGUUCAGCCCAAGGCUUCCUGCAAAAGUCUCAGGACUGAGUCUCAUUGGUCUGGUUUGGGUCACGGGCUGAGCCUGAGCCAAUCGCUGUGGCCAGGGGAUCGACAGCUCUGAUUGGCCCAGCCCGAGUCACAUGACACCCCUGGAGCCCAGAGACCAGAGUGGGAAGGGGCAGCUCCUGCAGGGAAGUUGGGGUCCUGGAAUCUGAGGCCAGGUGGGGACCCGGCAGCCAAAGCUCACAGGUGCCUAUCACAGACCCCCUUGGAGCACUUUUCACCCUGUGCAAUUACUUGUUCAUAUGUCUCUCCUCCAGCUGGUCAGGAAUAAGCAUCCUUCUCACUUACAAUUCCAGAGCAUCAUUCCAGCCCAAAGGAACAGCAGUCUAAUAAGUGGCUGUUAAAUUGUACUUUUUAGGCAUUUCCUUGCCGUGUGACCUACAUAGCAAGUAAAUCAGAGCAGAGUCUGACGAAGAUUUUUGUGACAUGUAUGUUAAGGUAAUGCUUCCUGACAUUAAAAAAGAAAUCACAAAUGGAGUGUUUUCUCAGUGCCUGUGUCCACACAGGGUGAGCCCAUGUGUCCUUUGUGGAAUCCUCACGAUGCUUGGGGAAGGGGACUCCGUCCUUGACAGGUGAGAGCACUGAAGCCCAGAUGCCGUAAGUAGCUUAUCAAGGAAACACAGCCGGCUGGUGGCAUGGCUGGGAGUUAAUCCCAGGUGGCUGACUUCCCAGGACUUUCUGACGGUUUGCUGAAGGGGUUCUCAGUUCAGGGGGACAGAGGGAAGGGUCUUGUGAUUACCUUUGGGGCUUUUUGAAACUAUUCCUCUGUCUUAGUUUGGCUUCCGUCGGAGGCAGACCUGGACUGGAGGAUUCAAGUGCAUGCACUUUCCCUGUGAGGGGAUCCAGGGGGCUCGGCCAAGACACAGCCUGAAUGAGGCGCAGAGGGCCAGGCAGCCAGGGAAGAGCGCUUCUGAUGUGGACCCUGCUGGGGGCAACUGGAGCGGAAUGCCGUGGAGCCGACUGGGGUGCAGGGCAGGAACGCCACGUAGCCGACGUGAGAUGGAGCUGAUCAAGACCCGGAUCUGGUGGGAGAGCAGCCCUCUGGACGGUGCUCGCUGAGAACAGGGGCUCUCCGCACCAGCACAGCAGCCAGCACGUGGAAAGUAAAGUGCUCAGUAAAUAUCUGCUCAUUGGACGAGUGAUUGGAUCAUCUGAGAUGCUGUCUUGGACCCCAAACUCAAGGCUAAUGUGAGGCCACCCCAGAGUCUCAGAGCAAGGAACUGGCAAGUGAAGUAA